UGGGAGUAACCAUCUUGGACCCAGCAGAUCAGGACUUCUGAAAAUUCUGAAGAAAAGAGCCACCUGAACUACCCAGAUCUUCUUGCUCAGACUCUUUCACGAGAGAUAAGAGCCAGGAAGAUUGUUCAUGCCUAUGUAUAGCCAGACACAGGCAGGAAAAGAGGAAAGGGGUCAUAAACUAAAGAUAUCCCAGUGAAUUUGUAAAGUUCAAUAUGAGCACUGAUUGAUCACCCAAGAAGCAAGAAGACCUUAAGUCACAAUCUUGAGAACUUGAAAAACCUGUAUCCAGUACCUAUACCCGUUACUUCUGAGGUCAACAGAAGUGAAAAGGGACAUCAUUUCCUGCAGAAACCAUGAUAAUGGAUAUGAAUAACUGUAGAUCUUUUUACAAUUACUAAACUGCUUCUUUUUAAUUAUUAAUCUCCCAUGGCCUAAAUAUCCUAUUCUGUCAAAUGAUGGGAAAAUCUAAAUUGUUUCAAAGACUCUUUUCCAUUUCUAUAACAUUAAAAUGUUUGCCAUUAAAAGCCUACAUAACAUUUUCUUUCCUUGACCCAAGAUAUCUUUUAAGGUGUUAUAAACUAGUCUCCUUGAACAUUUCUGUCAUCAAUCUGCCACUUUGCUGUUCAAAAACAUAUAAAGACUUCUCAAUAGGAAAUUAUACUUUUAGCCUCUCUGCAAUCUAAAUUACCUAUCUUUCAAGACACAAAUAUAAUUCUGUCCCUAUUCACUGUCUACAGCCUUGCUGGCAUGGCCCUGUCUUAAAAAUCAUAGCCUUGAUUCUCUGUUAUGGCUUGUACUUAUCAUAUUCUCACUUGCAUCAUUUUC